AAAAUUUUUCAAAAGAAAAAAAAAUCUGUUCUUAUCAGUUUAAUAUCUGAUACGUCCCUCAUCCGGGGACUAAAUAUUAAAUGGAUUUUUAGAUCACGGAGCUGGAGCCGGGGCUUGCUCCGUCCACUCCAUGCAUCGGCCUGGUAUUGCAGUGUCUCCAGGAACGGUGUGCUUUCC
rnacentral:snRNA from 1 species